rnacentral:rRNA from 1 species
AGAGACAGCAGUCGCCACGGUAAUACAGAGGGUGCGAGCGUUAAUCGGAUUUACUGGGCGUAAAGCGUGCGUAGGCGGCUUCUUAAGUCGGAUGUGAAAUCCCUGAGCUUAACUUAGGAAUUGCAUUCGAUACUGGGAAGCUAGAGUAUGGGAGAGGAUGGUAGAAUUCCAGGUGUAGCGGUGAAAUGCGUAGAGAUCUGGAGGAAUACCGAUGGCGAAGGCAGCCAUCUGGCCUAAUACUGACGCUGAGGUACGAAAGCAUGGGGAGCAAACAGGAUUAGAUACCCCCGUAGUCCCUGUCUCUUAUAA